rnacentral:rRNA from 1 species
UACGUAGGGCGCGAGCGUUGUCCGGAAUUAUUGGGCGUAAAGAGCUCGUAGGCGGCCUGUUGCGUCUGCUGUGAAAUCCCGGGGCUCAACCCCGGGCGUGCAGUGGAUACGGGCGGGCUAGAGGCAGGCAGGGGAGAGCGGAAUUCCCGGUGUAGCGGUGAAAUGCGCAGAUAUCGGGAGGUACACCGGUGGCGAAGGCGGUUCUCUGGGCCUGUUCUGACGCUGAGGAGCGAAAGCAUGGGGAGCGAACAGG